rnacentral:rRNA from 1 species
UACAGAGGGUGCACGCGUUAAUCGGAAUUACUGGGCGUAAAGCGUGCGUAGACGGUUAUUUAAGUCAGGUGUGAAAGCCCCGGGCUCAACCUGGGAAUUGCAUUUGAGACUGAAUAGCUAGGGUGCGGAAGAGGGAAGCGGAAUUUCCGGUGUAGCGGUGAAAUGCGUAGAUAUCGGAAGGAACACCAGUGGCGAAAGCGGCUUCCUGGUCCAGCACCGACGUUCAGGCACGAAAGCGUGGGGAGCAAACAGG